UACGAAGGGGGCUAGCGUUGUUCGGAAUUACUGGGCGUAAAGCGUGCGCAGGCGGCUUCUCAAGUCAGGGGUGAAAGCCCAGAGCUCAACUCUGGAAUUGCCUUUGAGACUGAGUGGCUUGAGUACGGGAGAGGUGAGUGGAACUCCGAGUGUAGAGGUGAAAUUCGUAGAUAUUCGGAAGAACACCAGUGGCGAAGGCGACUCACUGGCCCAUUACUGACGCUGAGGCGCGAAAGCGUGGGGAGCAAACAGG
rnacentral:rRNA from 1 species